GGGGCUGUGGCGCAAUGGCAACGCGUGUGACUCCAGUUAUCUGGAUUAAUCUCAAGAUUGCAGGUUCGACUCCUGUCAGCCUCA